CUACAGAGAGGCCUUCAUAUGAUCUUCCAUAACAUGAAUUGCAAACAAUUCUAUUUAUUGUAUCUACUGGACAUUUACAGAGGCAAAAUCCUAUGUUUAUCACAAUAAAAUUCGUAAGAACUACAAUGGAGACCAAAAAGUCCUCUCAGUGAACAUUUGUGAUUGAAGAAAGAGAGCGUAACUUGUUUUGAUGGACCGCAACUUGUUAACAAAUUAAUUUGCAUGGGGAAUAUCAAGGAUUUUUCGCACAUCCAAGUUUUAGGAUUCAGCUGAUCAGGAGCAUCUCUACAAGACUACUACUCCAUGGCCUUAUCGGUUCAAGUGCUCAUAUUUACUGAAAGCAGAUGUCAUUCUGGACUAUCUGGAAGAUUUACAUGAAGCACCUGAGCCGCAUCGGUUCUAGCCUAGUUGUAUGUGGGCAAGUACAUAAACGAAUUCGAGGUAGUGGCUACUGGGUUGCUGGCUUUAUGCUACAACAAUGUCGAUGUCUUCAGAUCUGCAGGAAACUUGAAGCUAAAACCAAUUUGCGUUGUGCCAUCUAGGAGUUUUCAAACCUCAUGAAGUCAAAGGAAUGGAGUAUCAGGCAAGAAAGCUUGCAUUUUCCCUAAAUACUGAUGAAAGGACGUAGAAAUACUUAUAUCUCUUUAGGUGCUAAUGAAGCAAACAGUCGCCAAAGAUCAGAAAGCAAGGUACCGACACUUGUAAAAGUCAGUUUGGGAUCUCUGUCCUCAUAGUCCUAUGAUUGGGAUUGGAGGGAGUGGAGGGAAAGGGUGACUUAACUGUGAUGGAAGUCUCUGGACUGGGUCUUUAUGAGCUCUUCCUCGGCAUCUUGAUAUGGCGAGGUCGCUUUUACCUAGAAAAUGGUGAAAUACCUCAAAUCAUUCUGAGCUGCUCACUUUGAAGGAGCGACCGGGAUUGCUAUACAUCAAGUGGGCAAACGAGCUGAAGACGAAAAUGAGCCACAUCAUUAUGAUGUUUCUUCUAAUCAGUCCAUUCGAGAAGAGCAAGAGAGAGGCACUAUAUAGUUGGACUUGCUCGCUUCUCUGCUUCAGUACUACGCUGAUUAAGCUGCCUUAUGAAACCUUUAAGGCUAUUGAUCAGGCGGCGAUGAAAUAUCAAAUGUACAAGCUAUUGAUCUCAAUCACCAUCAAUGUGGCAUGGUUUGUAAACUUGUUGGGGCACCAGCUUGUUAACAUAUAUUAGAUUUAUUGGAUUAUUUGAGACAGUAUUGCUUUA